AUUGAACGCUGGCGGCAGGCCUAACACAUGCAAGUCGAGCGGAUGAAGGGAGCUUGCUCCUGGAUUCAGCGGCGGACGGGUGAGUAAUGCCUAGGAAUCUGCCUGGUAGUGGGGGAUAACGUCCGGAAACGGGCGCUAAUACCGCAUACGUCCUGAGGGAGAAAGUGGGGGAUCUUCGGACCUCACGCUAUCAGAUGAGCCUAGGUCGGAUUAGCUAGUUGGUGGGGUAAAGGCCUACCAAGGCGACGAUCCGUAACUGGUCUGAGAGGAUGAUCAGUCACACUGGAACUGAGACACGGUCCAGACUCCUACGGGAGGCAGCAGUGGGGAAUAUUGGACAAAGGGCGAAAGCCUGAUCCAGCCAUGCCGCGUGUGUGAAGAAGGUCUUCGGAUUGUAAAGCACUUUAAGUUGGGAGGAAGGGCAGUAAGUUAAUACGUUGCUGUUUUGACGUUACCAACAGAAUAAGCACCGGCUAACUUCGUG
rnacentral:rRNA from 1 species